UACAGAGGGGGCAAGCGUUGUUCGGAAUUACUGGGCGUAAAGGGCGCGUAGGCGGCCUUCUAAGUCGAACGUGAAAUCCCCGGGCUCAACCCGGGAACUGCGUCCGAGACUGGAAGGCUCGAAUCCGGGAGAGGGAUGUGGAAUUCCAGGUGUAGCGGUGAAAUGCGUAGAUAUCUGGAGGAACAGCGGUGGCGAAGGCGGCAUCCUGGACCGGUAUUGACGCUGAGGCGCGAAAGCCAGGGGAGCAAACGGG
rnacentral:rRNA from 1 species